rfam:Sarcophilus harrisii ctg7180001774431, whole genome shotgun sequence.
AUUAAGAUGGCAGAGCCGGUAAUUGCAUAAAGCUUAAGCCUUUACUCCCAGAGGUUCAAACCCUCUUCUUAAUA